rnacentral:rRNA from 1 species
UACGGAGGGUGCAAGCGUUAUAUCGGAAUUACUGGGCGUAAAGCGCACGCAGGCGGUUGGUUAAGUCAGGUGUGAAAUCCCCGGGCUCAACCUGGGAACUGCAUCUGAUACUGGCAAGCUGGAGUCUCGUAGAGGGGGGUAGAAUUCCAGGUGUAGCGGUGAAAUGCGUAGAGAUCUGGAGGAAUACCGGUGGCGAAGGCGGCCCGCUGGACGGAGACUGACGCUCAGGUGCGAAAGCGUGGGGAGCAAACAGG